rnacentral:tRNA from 1 species
CGGGGCAUAGCCCAGUUUGGCUAGGGCGCUACAAUGGGGUUGUAGAGGUCGAGCGUUCAAAUCGCUCUGCCCCGA